UACGUAGGGCGCAAGCGUUGUCCGGAAUUAUUGGGCGUAAAGAGCUCGUAGGCGGCUUGUCACGUCGGUUGUGAAAGCCCGGGGCUUAACCCCGGGUCUGCAGUCGAUACGGGCAGACUAGAGUGCGGUAGGGGAGACUGGAAUUCCUGGUGUAGCGGUGAAAUGCGCAGAUAUCAGGAGGAACACCGGUGGCGAAGGCGGUUCUCUGGGCCUUACCUGACGCUGAGGAGCGAAAGCGUGGGGAGCAAACAGG
rnacentral:rRNA from 1 species